rnacentral:tRNA from 1 species
AAAUCCCUUCUCUAUCCCCA